UACGGGGGGGGGGCAAGCGUUUGUUUCGGAAAUUACUGGGGCGUAAAAGGGCUCGUAGGCGGCCAACUAAGUCGGACGUGAAAUCCCUCAGCUUAACUGGGGGAACUGCGUCCGAUACUGGAUGGCUUGGAUUUGGGGAGAGGGAUGCGGAAUUCCAGGUGUAGCGGUGAAAUGCGUAGAUAUCUGGAGGAACACCGGUGGCGAAGGCGGCAUCCUGGACCAAUAUUGACGCUGAGGAGCGAAAAGCCAGGGGAGCAAACGGG
rnacentral:rRNA from 1 species